rnacentral:rRNA from 1 species
AUUGAACGCUGGCGGAAUGCUUUACACAUGCAAGUCGAACGGUAGAGGGGGCAACCCCUCGAGAGUGGCGAACGGGUGAGUAAUAUAUCGGAACGUGCCCAGUCGUGGGGGAUAACGUAGCGAAAGUUACGCUAAUACCGCAUACGAUCUAAGGAUGAAAGCGGGGGAUCGCAAGACCUCGCGCGAUUGGAGCGGCCGAUAUCAGAUUAGGUAGUUGGUGGGGUAAAGGCUCACCAAGCCAACGAUCUGUAGCUGGUCUGAGAGGACGACCAGCCACACUGGAACUGAGACACGGUCCAGACUCCUACGGGAGGCAGCAGUGGGGAAUUUUGGACACUGGACGCAAGUCUGAUCCAGCCAUUCCGCGUGCAGGAUGAAGGCCCUCGGGUUGUAAACUGCUUUUGUACGGAACGAAAAGGUCUCUCUUAAUACGGGGGGCUCAUGACGGUACCGUAAGAAUAAGCACCCGCUAACUACGUGCCAGCCGCCGCAGUAA